rnacentral:ncRNA from 2 species
AAUAAAGUAUAAGCGCCAGGGCCUUAAAGGUUUUGCCUAAUUAAGGUCGACGAGGAAGAGGGUUAUCGAAAGUUUCGGCGGAUCCCUCUCGGUGGCUUGUCACCGUAAAGCUUGCUUAAAACCGAGGAGUAAUUUUCGAGACAAAGAGUAAGCUGACAAGACAA